CAAUGUUACCUGUGAGGAUAAUGGAACAUGAAGAACAGAUCUAAAUAAUAGCACAAACUCACAGCUCUGUCCUCAUUUACUAACAGAUCACAUUCAUUUAUUUCUGUGCCUCCUGUCCUCCACAG